UUACUUAAAAUAUAUCACUUUUUACAUAACAAUAUAUUUUAAGUAAAACAAUAGCAAUUUAUUUGGGUAGCUUUUUGUAUGAGUUUGUUGUGUACAAGAAAUGUUAUAAAAGUGAGUUGAAAUACACAAUUUAUUUGAGCAGCUGUCGAUAUGGCAUGUGUGUUCAUCAAACUUAAAUAUUUGAAAUAAAAAACACAUAAAAAUUAAGUUGGAUUUAUCCCUUUUUCACUGGCGGGGACUUUCCAAGGCAGAUGCUUCCUCGGCACUUCAACUGUUUGAAAGCUGCAGCGGAUCUAAAUUUCACAGACUGAUUAACACGUCUCCGGUGGGGCAUGCAGCUGUCGUGGGGUCCUCGUGUUAUCAGCAGCAGAGUUGUAACCAAGCGUUUUUGUUACCUGGGGUCUUCAGAUACAGGAUCCGUCUGGCUAUGUGGAGAAAAGGAGAGAAGUGGUACUGAGAUGCCUGAUUGAGUACAUAUGGGAGGGAAAGGAAGACCUCAUCAGUGUCCACCAUAGUCAUGAUGAAACAGAGGUGCACGCUGAGCUUGGCAGUUCCCCACUGAAAAUAUACAUGCGCCAUCAGCCAAACACGAUUGGGAUUAUCACAGUUGAAGGACAGCCCAUGGUCAGAGGUGUGCCAAACCUGUAGAAAACCUCCUGUUUGGACUUGUCUAUGCCCACAACCUCUAAUAUCACUCAAAUCUGGUGUAUACUUCUGAGAUAUAUCACAGGCUCUUUGUGGGAUUGGACCCUAUGCAUACUUUUGUAUGUUUUGUAGGCACUGUUAAAAGUGACACUAGCUGACAUUGAA